GUGGGACAGACACGAUAUAUAUUAUUAAUAUUAUUUGGAAAUGUAACAGAUUUACACAGAGAUAUAUGUAUGUGGUCAAUGUAAAAAUAUUUUGAAACAACAAAAAAUACUAAAUGAAUGUCUUGCAGGACAGCACUAAAUGAGGCAGGCCAGGCUGUCAUCGUCUUCUGAAAUUAUUCCGUCUGCUCAAUGUGAUGUCAUGGACCUUACCUCUUAAUGAGUCCCUGCCCCUCUAACUUGAGUGCAAAAUCUUUACAAGCCACGUGGUAAACAUUGAAGUAUUUGAGCGUCCCAAGUGAAAAAGGAGUUUGAUGAUGCAAUGCUGACUAAAGGUUGGAACUGCCAGAAAAUCUGCGACAAGGGGUCUUUGUCAGUGGUUGUGUAUCCAGUGUAUCUGGGACAGAGGGGACCCUCCACAGCUCUUUGUGGAAUCGCUGGAUGUUGGCGCCUGUAACGCUUCACCAUUCAUUUUUCUGGCUUCUCCAGCGUCCAUGAAGGAUACCGAACGGCUACAGUGAACCAAGUACCUGGCGGGUAGUUUAUCGGGGAGUGAGGCUCAGCCUCUGCCUCGGGGACACUCCCUCCAGACCUUCCACCUCACGCCCUCCGUCCACACUCUCCUGCUCGGGUCUCUGUCUUGACUCCAGCUUUUGGAAUCUCCCUUCAGCCUGGACCAGGACACCCCUCGCCCCCUCGGAAUCAAGACUUCUCUGCAGAGAAUCGCUUCUCUGGAGAGCUCAUCUUUUCCCCCGUGUGAUUGCCCACGGCAUCUUCUAGCAUUGUGAUCCUGGGGGAUGCGAAUAAGCCUCGCUGGACCACAGGUUCCUGUGUAAAACGAGAACAGUGAUGUGUCCCCCAGGCUCUGAAGACUCAUUUUAACAGAAGCAACACCUGAAAUUUUCACUUGAAAGGAAAAAACAAAGCAUUACAUUUGCUCAGCUGUGUUUUGCGUGUUCAAAAUGUAUGCAAAAAUGUUCUAAACACAGAAGUGCUUGAC
ensembl:lncRNA